AGAUUGAACGCUGGCGGCAGGCCUAACACAUGCAAGUCGAGCGGAUGAGUGGAGCUUGCUCCAUGAUUCAGCGGCGGACGGGUGAGUAAUGCCUAGGAAUCUGCCUGGUAGUGGGGGACAACGUUUCGAAAGGAACGCUAAUACCGCAUACGUCCUACGGGAGAAAGCAGGGGACCUUCGGGCCUUGCGCUAUCAGAUGAGCCUAGGUCGGAUUAGCUAGUUGGUGGGGUAAAGGCCUACCAAGGCGACGAUCCGUAACUGGUCUGAGAGGAUGAUCAGUCACACUGGAACUGAGACACGGUCCAGACUCCUACGGGAGGCAGCAGUGGGGAAUAUUGGACAAUGGGCGAAAGCCUGAUCCAGCCAUGCCGCGUGUGUGAAGAAGGUCUUCGGAUUGUAAAGCACUUUAAGUUGGGAGGAAGGGCAGUAAGUUAAUACCUUGCUGUUUUGACGUUACCAACAGAAUAAGCACCGGCUAACUUCGUGCCAGCAGCCGCGGUAAUACGAAGGGUGCAAGCGUUAAUCGGAAUUACUGGGCGUAAAGCGCGCGUAGGUGGUUUGGUAAGAUGGAUGUGAAAUCCCCGGGCUCAACCUGGGAACUGCAUCCAUAACUGCCUGACUAGAGUACGGUAGAGGGUGGUGGAAUUUCCUGUGUAGCGGUGAAAUGCGUAGAUAUAGGAAGGAACACCAGUGGCGAAGGCGACCACCUGGACUGAUACUGACAC
rnacentral:rRNA from 1 species